CAUGAGCUCACGGUUUUGUGUG
rnacentral:siRNA from 1 species